GACGAACGCUGGCGGCGUGCUUAACACAUGCAAGUCGAACGGAAAGGCCCUGCUUUUGUGGGGUGCUCGAGUGGCGAACGGGUGAGUAACACGUGAGUAACCUGCCCUUGACUUUGGGAUAACUUCAGGAAACUGGGGCUAAUACCGGAUAGGAGCUCCUGCUGCAUGGUGGGGGUUGGAAAGUUUCGGCGGUUGGGGAUGGACUCGCGGCUUAUCAGCUUGUUUGUGGGGUAGUGGCUUACCAAGGCUUUGACGGGUAGCCGGCCUGAGAGGGUGACCGGCCACAUUGGGACUGAGAUACGGCCCAGACUCCUACGGGAGGCAGCAGUGGGGAAUAUUGCACAAUGGGCGGAAGCCUGAUGCAGCAACGCCGCGUGCGGGAUGACGGCCUUCGGGUUGUAAACCGCUUUCGCCUGUGACGAAGCGUGAGUGACGGGAAUGGGUAAAGAAGCACCGGCUAACUACGUG
rnacentral:rRNA from 1 species